CGGGUCUUUGCGCGCGCAGGUCACGCGGCUGGUGUUGACACUUCCGGGUGGGACCGCAGGGAGGCGGCGGGGCAGGGGCUGGCACCUCCCGCAGCAGCAAUGGCGUAUACCGGCCUCACCGUGCCUCUCAUCGUGAUGAGCGUGUUCUGGGGCUUCGUCGGCUUCCUGGUGCCCUGGUUCAUCCCUAAGGGUCCCAACCGGGGAGUUAUCAUCACCAUGUUGGUGACCUGUUCCGUUUGCUGCUAUCUCUUUUGGCUGAUUGCAAUUCUGGCCCAACUCAACCCUCUCUUUGGACCACAGUUGAAAAAUGAAACCAUCUGGUACCUCAAGCAUCAUUGGCCUUGAGUAAGAAGACCUGCUCUCCAGUGCUCAGUCAUUGAGUAGCACAUGUGGCUUUAUUUAUAAAGACGUUAUACAGUAAGCUUUGCGUGAAGGAGUUACGCGACCGCUGUUAGCAGUCUGAUGUGUGAAGAUACCUAUUUUAAAUGUUUGCCAGCUCUGCAGAGGUGGUGUUGCAGCAUUAAGCUUCUAGAAGAAGAAAUUCUCAUUUGUCACCUACACUUGGGGUGGCAAGAACGGUCACGAAGAGAACUCCUCUAGAUGCAAAAUCACCUCCAUACCCAGACCACCUUCCUUGACUCGCCCACUUUGGCUGUCAGCUGCCUUAAACGUUCCCACCACAUUUGAAUAUCUUAUUCUACAAUGCAGUAUUUUUUCCUGUCACCUUUUUUAUACUUUGAUGAAUGAUGUGCCUAUUGAAUCUAAACUGUGCUGCCUCUAUAAAGUGUUUAUGUACUCUUCGGAGAUAGAAAAUGCUGUUGUUCUGAGAAAUAACAUUACUCUCCUUGGAAACUGUGGAUUUGAAGAUGGCUCCUGCCUGCUCACAACAUGAGAAUCAGCAAAGUGUUUAAAAACUGUUACAUGAUAGUAAGACUCCAGUGGGGCAGUCAGUAGGAGAACAUGUUCAGAGGGAAAAUCUGUCCCACCAGAAUUAUACCAAAGUAUAUUUUCAGGAUGAAUUUCUUAUUUCUGCCCUCCUUUGGAAUAAAUUAUUUUUCUGCUCUCUA